rnacentral:rRNA from 1 species
GAUGAACGCUAGCGAUAGGCCUAACACAUGCAAGUCGAGGGGCAGCAUAGAGUAGCAAUACUUUGAUGGCUACCGGCGCACGGGUGAGUAACACGUAUGCAACCUACCUACAUCAGGGGAAUAACACGGAGAAAUUCGGACUAAUACCGCAUAAUACAGGGAUGCCGCAUGGCAAUAUUUGUUAAAGAUUUAUCGGAGGUAGAUGGGCAUGCGUUCCAUUGGCUUGUUAGUGAGGUAACGGCUCACCAAGGCAACGAUGGAUAGGGGAACUGAGAGGUUUGUCCCCCACACUGGAACUGAGACACGGACCAGACUCCUACGGGAGGCAGCAGUGAGGAAUAUUGGUCAAUGGACGAGAGUCUGAACCAGCCAAAUCGCGUGAAGGAAGACUGCCCUACGGGUUGUAAACUUCUUUUGUACAGGAAUAAAAGACAUUACGUGUAAUGUAUUGCAUGUACUGUACGAAUAAGCAUCGGCUAACUCCGUGCCAGCCGCCGCCGUAA